rnacentral:rRNA from 1 species
UACGGAGGGUGCAAGCGUUAUCCGGAUUCACUGGGUUUAAAGGGUGCGUAGGAGGGCAGGUAAGUCAGUGGUGAAAUCUUCGAGCUUAACUCGGAAACUGCCGUUGAUACUAUCUGUCUUGAAUACCGUGGAGGUGAGCGGAAUAUGUCAUGUAGCGGUGAAAUGCUUAGAUAUGACAUAGAACACCGAUUGCGAAGGCAGCUCACUACACGAAUAUUGACUCUGAGGCACGAAAGCGUGGGGAUCAAACAGGAUUAGAAACCCCCGUAGUCC